UAAAGGAUUAUAGCAUCUAAUAAGAAACCAGUAAAAGACUGUACAGGCUGAAGAUUAAUGUUCCUGAAUAAGGACUAAUCAUUUUGGUUUGGACUAAAUCUAGUUGAUAUAAGAAUGUUUGGAAGAAAAGCUAUUCCAGUAUAUUUUGGUCUAAUGGAAGAGGUGUUAUGGAAUUGCCAAAUGAACUCUGCACUUCAUUGCUAUGUAGAUUUCUUAACUAACAGAACAUGUUUUAGCAUGUUUAGAGUCAGACAUUGCCUGAUUUAGUCAGUUUGACAAUGAGGUGAUGAGUUUAGCACAAUAAGAAUUCAAGAACUCAUUUUAUUUUAUGGUUACACAAUAAUUGAUUUGUGGUUAUGUUUGUGUUGCUGCCAAUUGCAUUUUAAUAUCACUCAAAAUGUAUAAAAUCAAUAUCGAAAUGGCCCUUCGUAGUUAAUAAGCACUUACACAGAGUCUAGAGGUGAAAGCUUGGCUCUGUUGAUGUCAACUGCAAAAGGUCCAUUGACUGCAAUGGCACCAAGUUUCACCCUGGAUACAUUCGGGCAGGUUAUCAUAACAGUGCCUGCUUCUUUUUGUUUUUGCUUACUUGUUCGAGCUACUUCCUUCUAGACAUGAGUUCUGCUGCAAUGUGAGCAUUUGCAAUUACCAGUAGUAUACCAAGGUCUAGGCGCAGUGCUUCCUUCUUGAUACUACAAUUACCAAGAACCAUUUUGUGAGUAGCAAAGAGUCCUGUGGCACCUUAUAGACUAACAAAUGUAUUGGAGCAUGAGCUUUCGUGGGUGAAUACCCACUUCGUUGGAUGCAUGCAUAUUUUGUGAGUAGUUAGUAGGAGGUGAACAUUCAUGUCUACAUUGUCCAUUUUUUUGAAAGCUGCCUGGAUACGUAUGGCAUCCCAGAAACUUGGUUGGAUAGAAGGGCACAGCUUCUUCAGGAAGAACAGGCAGAGAAAAAAGCAUGGAUGUGUUGCCUUGUAUAUCAAAGAUGAUAGUAGGACCUGUUGAAAGUCUCUGGCAACACAAGGAGAAUGAAGUGAAUACAUUGGAAGUGUAUGAGCUCAGUGAGAGAAGAAAUGCUCAGCAUCAGUUUAUGAACAGUGAAUAUACUUCAGCAAAAGAGCAGGUGGUAUUAUCGGACCCCAAGGCAAAGGACUGACUGGCAAUCCUUAUGUUGCAUUGAUGAGUAUGUUCAUUCCAUUCAACCCUGGACCAGAAGAGGCAGAAACAAUUUUUUUUACAAAAAUUAAAACUUAGAAGCUGCAGAAAGUUUCUUGAUCCCCACAUCGUGGUAAAACUAGAAUCACAAUCCCAGGGCUUACAGUGACUUAAAUCAGUCUGCAGUGCAUCGUGCAGCAAUUUGUAAUGGAAGGGGAUACUUGUAAAAGCAGAUUGGCAAGAGGAAAACAAGCCAAGUUAUAAUAGUCUCCCUCUCCCCUGUUAUGUGUGAAUUAGUCAAUCAACAAGCCACCUUUUUGCUGUGAGUUCUGGUUUCCUUUAAUUUUCUGUUUCUAAGCAGUGUCCACGUGGUCUCUGUUUAGUUUCUGGGAUGCAGCUGUCGCUCUUCCCCACAAGACUUGAUACAAUUUUUUGUGGAACUGAAUAAGAGAGAAUGAUGCAUGAGUCAGGCAGGAGAGGAAGGAGAGGAAGGGUGGAUGAAGGCAUUCCAGGUAGGUAGUAUGUGAAGGGAUGACUGUGGAACAGAUGGUUUGAAGCCACCAGCAGAGCCAGUUGGAGGUAUGAGAGGAGGCAGUGGGGCUCAUUCGUGUGAAAGUGGUGCUGUAGAUGUAGCAAGGGGUGGAGUUUGUGGCAUAGAGAGGCAUUUUGAAAGGAGGCUGUGUAGUGGUGGUUGGUCUAUUGAGCUAGGGGUGAUUUGAAGGUGUCAGGGGUCCUCUAUGACCCACUACUGAUUCUCGGCAUCAGCUGCUGCUGCUUAGUCAAACUCACAUUGACUUCAGUGAGAGUUUCCCUGAGAAAGGGCUGAUUAAGGAUUUUCUCCUGUGCACAAAAAUGCGUCUCUCGCUCAUUGCCACAGUAACCUUGAUAGAUGAAUCUGUCCAUUUAUCUUCAUAAAUACCUAUUUAAGUAUAGUUUGGCCACUACCCUGAAGACUUUAUCAACUUCCAUUGGCAUGACUUUCCUCACAAUUAUUUUAGGCCCUGAGGGAUAGGAAUUCAAAUUUAUUUAAUAUAAUUUAUAACAAAAGCAUAAUAUACAAAUCAAAGAACUUUGUCUCUUUCAAUUUAUGUACAAUUUAGAAAUCCAAAUCCCCACAAAAAUAAAACAAAACACAGAGAGAUUCAGAAAGAUAUAGGGAACAAAGUUCCAGGAAAAUUAAAUCCCUAAUAAUUUAAUUGAUUUAAUUGUUUUUCUUUUUUACUUCUCAAAGUUAGCAGGAACCUUCUAGGCAUGCCUGUUCUUGGGAACAUUGACAUUAAUAUAGAAGGAAAUCCAGGAUUUAGUGAUGAGAAACGCUGCUUUGAAAUUCCACAACUGCACAGCAGUUCCCUCCCAACAGGAAAUCACAGGAGCAGAGUGAAAGUGGAUGGGCUGGAUCGAAGGUGCUGCACCAACACCCAGUGAGGGAGGGAGCUAAAGGUCAGGCUCACUGCUGCAACUGACUCUCAGCGCUCCCCAGAACGUAUUCUACAGUCUUCUCUCAGGACGUUUACCCUGAACUCCCACUGUCCAGCUUCACCUCUACUUGUGUGAAUUUGAUUGGAGAACAGCUAAUAUCACAGAGAGAUGAAUUGUCACUCCAAUCAAAUGUUGCUGUGCCACUGACUAGCUGAUGAAGAAUAAAACUCCCAACAGAGGGAAAAGACUUUAAAAAUACAACAAAUAAUACAAGAAAAAGUCAAAAGGAAAAAUCAAAUGAAAAUCACAACUAACAAAUGGGAACAAGUUACCUAUGCAAGAAUGUGGAUAUAGGGGAAAAUCCACAAACAAAAGUGGGGGAAAAAACCAAAAUAAUAGAAAAUGUUGACCCAAUAAAAAAAGAAAUACUGAUUUAGGAAGCAUAAAAUCAACCUAUGGAAUUCACCAUCAGAGGGAAUCAAUAAGCAGCAUAUUGUGGCUGAAUUUAAAUCUAUGUUGAAUGGCUUUAAAGCCACAGAUAAUAUUUAUAGCAACACAGGCUGAGUUAAUAAUAAGAUUAAUCAAAGCUUCUACAUCAGGACAUAAAUAGAUCACUUAUGAGGAUCAAAUUUUCCCCCACCCCCCUAUAUCUCUUAUCAACUGCAUAGUGAAACUGAAAAAAAAUGUAUUUUGAUUUUCUCUUUCCUGUUUGUUAAUUAUCAGGUAUUGUUGACAGCCAGAAGCAGGACAUCUGACCUGAUAGACAUUGUGCCACAGAAAACAGAGUGUCCUAGAAAUUGAUAUGGAUUGAAACUUAUUCCUCACUGGAGCAAUGUUUCUGUAAGACCACUGAAAUUAAUGUCAGUUUUGUGCUUGGAAAAAAGCACAGUCAUUUGUGACCACCUAAAUUCUAUGACAUAUGCAACUUUUUUGAAUACUUUAAUUUCUUCAUUCUCCACAUACGUGACAUUGUAUUUGUCUGAACUGUAUACAGGAUACUGUCUUUAGCCUCUUUUCCUUCCACUCCUGUUGAUAUUGGUUUUGUUUCCUCAAGUCUAAAAAUGUCAACUAGAGACGUUAAUAUUAUGUUGGUUUGCACUACUGAAAUGAGUGUUUUGAAAAUAAUAUUAAAGAGUUACUGUCACAGGAUACCAUGCUGCAGAGGAGCUCAGAAAUUUUGCAUAGUGUGGACUACCUCCCCAUUCACUGGUGAUCACACAGACCAUUUCCUCCCAGACUGGUGUUUAAGUUACACCUUUGUGACAACUGCAGCAAUUGCUUACGUGGGAAAGAAACAUUAAGAAGAAUUCAAAAUAUUUUAAACUUCUUUUAAAGAAACAUAGCACAUGCAGAGAAGGAGAUGCCUAUGUGUCAGCCCACUUGCUGCCGACCACUACAGAGGGCUACUGCUGAUCCACAGACGAACUUACUGUAUUGCAAUUAAACAAUUUCACAUAGAGAGUGGGAGGUUGCCAUGUUUUAAAGAUCAAAAGCUAGUGUUGCUUAAUAUACAACUUGUUUAUGGUCAUCACAGUAAUGAUAGUGUACAAAUAGCUAGCUCUUGCAAAAUGCUUUUUAUCUGUAGAUCUCAAAGCUCUCUCUGGACUAGUACUGUUUUUACCUGGGCACAGCAAGGUUUUGGAUAGGGUAGUAAACAUGCCUGAGCCUUAUCUGCACCAGUUCUCUCACUGUCAGGAGCUGAAAAAUAGGAGCUACUGUAGACCCUGACACAGUCAGCAUUUUAUUCUUCACUCAGCUGUUAGUUGCAUGCAUGGAUCUAAACCUAAUGUUGUCAAACAGAGUUUGACCUGUUAAAUGGUAUUGCAAGUAUCCACGGUUCCAAUAUCCAGCUGCUAUGGGUUUCCAAGGCUGCUGGCUGUAUUUCCAACCUGUAUUUUUCUUAAGUUGGCAGCAGAAGAGUGGGUGCAGAAAAGGAUGCUCUGCACAGUGAUGUGUAACUGUACAUUGACUGGAAUUCAAAAGUGCGCUAGUGAGUUGUACAAAGGCAUCAUCAAAAAGCUGAAGUCAAACACAUGCUUGAAAACCAGCAAAUCUGAAGUGGAGCAUGUUUGUUCCAUGCAAAAAUCUUAGAAUAAAAUUAUUGCUUUUAUUUUUAUGAAGCAAACUCUUGUAGGCUGCUCAACCAUUUCUGCUAGUCUUAUGGCUACUCUAGGCUGUGCUAUUAUGAGAAAUCUUGGCAAUGUUAGUGGAAAUAGGACAUGAAGUCUCAGGACAUGCCAGUGAUGUAUUGAUUAGUAAAGGUAAGAUGCUUGAUGCAAACUUUUUGCCUUUUUGCAAGGUGACUGCAGAAUUCAAACAGCAGCAUAAGAAAGCGUUUACUGUAUGGUGUAGAUCUGUCAGUGGUGAAUGAUGGAUAGAUCGGCUGAAAAGGACAAAAAAUUAUGGGGGAGAUUUUCAAAGACAAAUAAAGUUUGGUACCCUGUGUGAUUUUGAAAGUUUCCCUGUUUUUAAUAUAGAAGAACC